rnacentral:lncRNA from 1 species
UUUUGCUUCUUCCCUGCAGACCAAGUUGGAGGUGCGUCCUCCUUUUGCCAGACCUCCUCUUGUGCCUCUUGCUGUAUGCAGAGCGUCGUGAUGACAGCUCGUCAAGCUUUCCAAUUUGAGUCUUCAGCUAUCCAGAAGCUGUGAAGGGGCAGCCCCGUCACCAGACACAAUCCUUGCAAAGGGACAGCCUCCAUCAGCCUCCAUGGAAGACUGACAGACCCACACAGGGGAGAAUAAAUCAACCUGCAAAUGAAGCA